GAAAGCUGCACAAAGAAGAAAAACUUCCUCUAUUGCAGCCCUGAAUACUUCUAAGAAGAGAAACUGCUACCUAGCCAUGUCUGCACUUCUGCUCUACUGCCUCAAAAAGAAGAGAGAGCUCCUUCUGCCACGUUUUUUUCUCUGUUUCACAAUGGGCUCAACCAGCAGAACUGGGGAGGAUCACCAUGGGAUCAAGACUGUAAAGACAGGAGAUCUCUCUCCACGUUUUGCAGUCACAGAAUUCAAACUCAGCAUCCAUAAACUGUUCAACCACUUGCCAUCCAGGAGGAGGAACCAUGCAUACUGAUGAGAUUUGAGAUCAACAGCAAUUUGGAGUGGAGAUUGUAGCUGAGGAGAGAAUGAAGGUACAGGAGAUUUCAUGAAAACAAAAGGAAAUAUCCAUUUACAAUGGACAGACUCAGUGUUGAACACCUUGCUUACAAACAACUGUCAAGCUGAAUUCUACAUUUGAUUCUGCUGCCUUCUUCUAAUGAUCAAGUGUAAAAGAGCCACAGCAACCUGAAGGUAUGGUUCCUGGGAAACACACAAUUUCUUACCAGAUAACUUCCACAGUACCAGACCUCUAAAAAGCCCAGAAGAAAAGGUCUCUCAGAUCCAAACAAUUUAAAUUCAAUGAAUAUGAUUUGGCUCGCAGUUAUUUCCCUAGGAAGUAAUGAAAGAGGUAAUUAAAAGACUGGACAACUAUUUUUAAGUAAAACAUUAUGCAUUAGAGUAAGAGCAUUUCAGUUAAACUGUUUCCAGGCCAUGAAAGCCAGCUCUGUGUCUUUCUGUGCAUCACUACAGCAGCCCAGUUCCAGAUGGGGGAAUGAGAUCUCCUUUCUGAAGGUCCC
rnacentral:lncRNA from 1 species